AACGAACGCUGGCGGCGCGCUUAACACAUGCAAGUCGUGCGGUGUCGAAGGCAAGUCUUACGACAAGCCUUCGACACAGCGGCGAACGGGUGAGUAACACGUGAGUAGCUGUCCUAAGGAGGGGGAUAACGCCUGGAAACGGGUGCUAACACCCCAUAUGCCUCGCAAGAGGUGAAAGUGUACUUGCUACAGCCUUAGGGUGUGCUCGCGGCCUAUCAGCUAGUUGGUGAGGUAACGGCUCACCAAGGCUAAGACGGGUAGCCGGCCUGAGAGGGUGUACGGCCACACUGGAAUUGAGAUACGGUCCAGACUCCUACGGGAGGCAGCAGUGGGGAAUCUUGGGCAAUGGGCGAAAGCCUGACCCAGCGACGCCGCGUUGGGGAUGAAGCCCUUCGGGGCGUAACCCGAUGUUGUAGGGGACGAAGAAAGUGACGGUACCCUACGAGAAAGCCCCGGCCAACUACGUG
rnacentral:rRNA from 1 species